UAAAUCAUAUUUUUUUUCUUAAUUUUAUUUUUCAUUUUCAGGACUCUAAUGAUAAAUGCUGGAGCAGUGUUGAACUUCAAGUUUAAAAAGAGAGGUGACAAAGUUGGCUUUGAUGACAAUAUUGGCGAACCAACAACAGGUGAUAAAGUUCGUGAAUUUCUUCUGAAUCUGAGAUACUUCAGGAUAUUCAUUGCUUUAUGGAACAUAUUGAUAAUGUUUCUCAUGUUGGUAUUCUUUGGAUCAUGACGCUUUGGUCACAAACAUCAUGAUAAGGCCUGGAAUGAGUCUGCAAUAGAACAAUACACAAAGUGAUCGGUUGCGCAUCGUGGAAAACAUUGUGAUAUCUAUCCAUUUGGACUGUGUUGAAAGACAGGAGAAACAAGAAGGCAAUAACUUGUGGAAAGGAGCUAUAUUGGAGACACAUCCACGGUUGGAGACUUUGCUGCGCUAUGUGUGGGGUUGACACUUGGUAUAGACCACUGAAGAAGUUGCAGCCGCUAAUGUAUGUGCCUUUGAUGUUGACAUCUGUAGGAUGUAUACUCCAGAAUCAGUAGCUCUCGCUUCAAAUACUCCUGGGGGCCGUUUCAUAAAGCUGUUCGUAAGUUUAGAGCGAUUUUAAGAACGACUGGAGAACCUUUCUUACGCGUU